rnacentral:rRNA from 1 species
UACGAAGGGGGCUAGCGUUGUUCGGAAUCACUGGGCGUAAAGCGCAUGUAGGCGGACUUUUAAGUCAGGGGUGAAAGCCUGAGGCUCAACCUCAGAACUGCCCUUGAUACUGGGAGUCUUGAGUAUGGUAGAGGUUGGUGGAACAGCAAGUGUAGAGGUGAAAUUCGUAGAUAUUUGCUAGAACACCAGUGGCGAAGGCGGCCAACUGGACCAUAACUGACGCUGAGGUGCGAAAGCGUGGGGAGCAAACAGG